CCUACGGGAGGCAGCAGUGAGGAAUAUUGGGCAAUGGACGAGAGUCUGAACCAGCCAAGUAGCGUGAAGGAUGACUGCCCUAUGGGUUGUAAACUUCUUUUAUAAAGGAAUAAAACGAGGCACGUGUGCCUUUUUGCAUGUACUUUAUGAAUAAGGAUCGGCUAACUCCGUGCCAGCAGCCGCGGUAAUACGGAGGAUCCGAGCGUUAUCCGGAUUUAUUGGGUUUAAAGGGAGCGUAGAUGGGUUGUUAAGUCAGUUGUGAAAGUUUGCGGCUCAACCGUAAAAUUGCAAUUGAUACUGGCAGUCUUGAGUACAGUUGAGGUAGGCGGAAUUCGUGGUGUAGCGGUGAAAUGCUUAGAUAUCACGAAGAACCCCGAUUGCGAAGGCAGCUUACUAAAAUGUGACUGACAUUGAUGCUCGAAAGUGUGGGUAGCAAACAGGAUUAGAUACCCGAGUAGUC
rnacentral:rRNA from 1 species